AGUGAACGCCGGCGGUAGGCCUAACACAUGCAAGUCGAACGGCAGCACAGUAAGAGCUUGCUCUUACGGGUGGCGAGUGGCGGACGGGUGAGGAAUACAUCGGAAUCUACUUUUUCGUGGGGGAUAACGUAGGGAAACUUACGCUAAUACCGCAUACGACCUACGGGUGAAAGCAGGGGAUCUUCGGACCUUGCGCGAUUGAAUGAGCCGAUGUCGGAUUAGCUAGUUGGCGGGGUAAAGGCCCACCAAGGCGACGAUCCGUAGCUGGUCUGAGAGGAUGAUCAGCCACACUGGAACUGAGACACGGUCCAGACUCCUACGGGAGGCAGCAGUGGGAAAUAUUGGACAAUGGGCGCAAGCCUGAUCCAGCCAUACCGCGUGGGUGAAGAAGGCCUUCGGGUUGUAAAGCCCUUUUGUUGGGAAAGAAAAGCAGCAGGUUAAUACCCCGCUGUUCUGACGGUACCCAAAGAAUAAGCACCGGCUAACUUCGUG
rnacentral:rRNA from 1 species